AUGGGUGAACAAGGCAAGACUGGCCUGCAGAGACAGUACCUGGAAAAGGCCAAGGCAAGGAAUUGGGUGACACUUUUCUACCCCCACUCAGGGAGUGACCUGAGGAGGGUGCUGCCAGCCAGAGGGGCUCAGGUCCUGGAAGGCUCCGGGGCCCAGGGAGGGAGAGUGACAUCUCAGAAUGACUCCCUUGACAGUCCUGUUCCCCUUUCAUCAAUGCACAGACCCAGAAGAUCCCUCUGUCCUGCAGCACCUGCCAUGAGCAUCGGCCUCCUGUGCUGUGCGGCCUUUUCUCUCCUGUGGGCAGGUCCAGUGAAUGCUGGUGUCACUCAGACCCCAAAAUUCCAGAUCCUGAAGACAGGACAGAACAUGACACUGAAGUGUGCCCAGGAUAUGAACCAUAACUACAUGUACUGGUAUCGACAAGACCCAGGCAUGGGGCUGAGGCUGAUUCAUUACUCAGCUGGUGAAGGUAGCACUGAGAAAGGAGAAGUCCCCGAUGGCUACAAUGCCUCCAGAUUAAACCCACAGAAUUUCCUGCUCAGGCUGGAGUCGGCUGCUCCCUCCCAGACAUCUAUGUACUUCUGUGCCAGCAGUGAAGCCACAGUGCUGCACGGCCAUCUCCUCUCUGCACAUAAAGGCAGGAGAGGCUCUGCCCUCCUCCUCACCCCAGACUCAGCUAUGCCCUUGGUCCUAGCACCGGAAACUUUGGAUCCCCACUGUGCCUGGCCAGUGGGAGCCUUGUUGGCUAAUGGUGGAACAAGUCCUUGA